rnacentral:rRNA from 1 species
AACGUAGGAGACAACCGUUAUCCGGAUUUACUGGGCGUAAAGGGCGUGUAGGUGGUUUCGUAAGUCUGGCGUGAAAUUUUUCGGCUUAACCGGGAAAGGUCGUCGGAUACUGCGGAGCUAGAGGACGGUAGAGGCGUGUGGAAUUCCGGGUGUAGUGGUGAAAUGCGUAGAGAUCCGGAGGAACACCAGUGGCGAAGGCGACACGCUGGGCCGUACCUGACACUGAUGCGCGACAGCAUGGGGAGCAAACAGG